UGAGGAAUCUUGCGCAAUGGGGGAAACCCUGACGCAGCAACGCCGCGUGAGUGAAGAAGGCCUUCGGGUCGUAAAGCUCUGUCAGAUGGGAAGAAAUGGAUGGGGGCUAAUAUCGUCCAUCCUUGACGGUACCAUCAGAGGAAGCACCGGCUAACUCCGUGCCAGCAGCCGCGGUAAUACGGGGGGUGCAAGCGUUGUUCGGAAUCAUUGGGCGUAAAGCGCGCGCAGGCGGCUUGGUAAGUCAGAUGUGAAAUCCCUGGGCUUAACCCAGGAAGUGCAUUUGAUACUGCCUAGCUUGAGUAAGGGAGAGGGAAGUGGAAUUCCUGGUGUAGAGGUGAAAUUCGUAGAUAUCAGGAGGAACACCGGUGGCGAAGGCGACUUCCUGGCCCUAUACUGACGCUGAGACGCGAGAGCGUGGGUAGCAAACA
rnacentral:rRNA from 1 species